CCCUACUGCUAUCGGGAUGGGACUAAGACAUGCUAGUCGUGCGCCUCCAAGCCAUGGUGGAGGCGCGGCGCACAGCUCAGUAACACGUGGUUAACCUGCCCUUGGGACGGAAACACCCCCGGGAAACUGGGGCUAAUUUCCGAUAGGCGAAGGCUCCUGGAAUGGAUCUUCGCCUAAAGAGCGCUUAGGCCAUGCUUCUAGGCGCUGCCCAAGGAUGGGGCCGCGGCCGAUCAGGUUGUUGGUGAGGUAAUGGCUCACCAAGCCUUUAACCGGUUCGGGCCGUGGGAGCGGGAGCCCGGAGAUGGGCACUGAGACAAGGGCCCAGGCCCUACGGGCGCAGCAGUCGCGAAAACUCCGCAAUACGCGAAGGCGUGACGGGGCUAUCCCGAGUGCCGUCCGCUGAGGAUGGCUUUUCCCCAGUGUAGAUAGCUGGGGGAAUAAGGAGAGGGCAAGUCUGGUGUCAGCCGCCGCGGUAAUACCAGCUCUCCGAGUGGUGGGGACGUUUAUUGGGCCUGAAGCAUCCGUAGCCAGCUGAGCAAGUCCCCAGUUAAAUCCAGCGAUUUAAUCGUUGGACUGCUGGGGAUACUGUCCGGCUAGGGGGUGGGAGAGGCCGACGGUAUUCCCGGGGUAGGGGUGAAAUCCUAUAAUCCCGGGAGGACCACCAGUGGCGAAGGCUGUUGGCUAGAACAUGCCCGACGGUGAGGGAUGAAAGCUGGGGGAGCGAACCGGAUUAGAUACCCGGGUAGUCCCAGCUGUAAACGAUGCAGGCUAGGUGUUAGGGCGGCCACGUGCCGCUCUAGUGCCGCAGGGAAGCUGUUAAGCCUGCCGCCUGGGGAGUACGGCCGCAAGGCUGAAACUUAA
rnacentral:rRNA from 1 species